UCAUGCCUACGGGGCGCAGCAGUGAGGAAUAUUGGUCAAUGGGCGAGAGCCUGAACCAGCCAAGUCGCGUGAGGGAAGACGGUCCUAUGGAUUGUAAACCUCUUUUGCCGGGGAGCAAAAAGCGGUACGUGUACCGCAUCGAGAGUACCCGGAGAAAAAGCAUCGGCUAACUCCGUGCCAGCAGCCGCGGUAAUACGUAGGUGGCAAGCGUUAUCCGGAUUUACUGGGUGUAAAGGGCGUGUAGGCGGGGAAGCAAGCCAGAUGUGAAAACCACGGGCUCAACCUGUGGCCUGCAUUUGAAACUG
rnacentral:rRNA from 1 species